AUUUUAUUUAUUUAAUCACAAUCAAAUAAAUAAUGUCCUAUUACAACUACUAGUCCAAAGUUAAUGAAUUUAGUAGCAUAUAAUAUCCCCACUAUUUGUUUUCAUAAAACAAAUCAAUAUCAAAACAUUUUUCAAAAUAUUAGAGAUAUAUAUAACUACUAAUUGUAUUUAUUAUAGUCUAGUAGCGUAUGAUACUCCCACUAAUUUGUUUUGAGAA
rnacentral:lncRNA from 1 species